AACGAACGCUGGCGGCAGGCUUAACACAUGCAAGUCGAACGCGUGUAGCAAUACACGAGUGGCGCACGGGUGAGUAACGCGUGGAUAUCUGCCUUUUGGUUCGGAAUAACCCCGGGAAACUGGGGCUAAUACCGGAUGGUUCCUUCGGGAUAAAGAUUUAUCGCCAAAAGAUGAGUCCGCGUACGAUUAGCUAGUUGGUGAGGUAAUGGCUCACCAAGGCGACGAUCGUUAGCUGGUCUGAGAGGACGAUCAGCCACACUGGGACUGAGACACGGCCCAGACUCCUACGGGAGGCAGCAGUGGGGAAUAUUGGACAAUGGGGGCAACCCUGAUCCAGCCAUGCCGCGUGAGUGAUGAAGGCCUUCGGGUUGUAAAGCUCUUUUGGCGGGGACGAUGAUGACGGUACCCGCAGAAUAAGCCCCGGCUAACUUCGUGC
rnacentral:rRNA from 1 species